GUGGAUUAGAUACCCUGGUAGUCCACGCCGUAAACGUUGGGCACUAGGUGUGGGUUUCAACCAACGAGAUCCGCGCCGUCGCUAACGCAUUAAGUGCCCCGCCUGGGGAGUACGGCCGCAAGGUUAAAACUCAAAGGAAUUGACGGGGGCCCGCACAAGCAGCGGAGCGUGUUGCUUAAUUCGAUGCAACGCGAAGAACCUCACCUGGGCUUGACAUGUACGGAAAAGCCGUAGAGAUACGGUGUCCUUCGGGGCCGUACACAGGUGGUGCACGGCCGUCGCCAACU
rnacentral:rRNA from 1 species